rnacentral:lncRNA from 1 species
CAGAGCUACACUUGACUAGAAUCUCGGGUGGAAAGGAGAGAGAGUGGGAGGGGCAGGAGGGGAGGGGCCGGGAGGAGGACCACGAACAGUCGUACCGGAUAAAUGGCUUUACUGGGAAGACCGUGCCUGGCCCCACUGGCGAUGAAAGCACGCUGCUCACACACCCAUUCCACACUGCUAUGUACAGGAGCCGUGGCUGCUCUGGGUUCUGAAGGACACUUAUUCCCCAACAGGACACUUGUCAGACAAUGGCUCCAACGCAGACACUAGGACAUGACUCCGAAGACAGGGUUGUGGCGGCAGAUGCUUGGGCCGUAUUCCUCAUAGUCCUUCUUGGUGUGACAGACCUGAAAGAACUCCGGCUGCAAGAGGAGCAGCCAGCAGGAGGAAGAAGAUGAGCAGACGACGUCCAAAAUCUCUGAACAUUGUGGAGCCUCCAGAAAGAACGACGUUCUGAAAGACCAAAGUGGACAGUGC